GAUUAACUUAACUGAAUGUGGAACUUUAAUUAUAUCUGCUAAAGUCUCUAUUGCAUAUAAUAGAACAUAAUGAUGAGGUUGAUAAUGCAUCAUAUUUACAGGCUUCACCCGUACUCAAAAGCAGUGCAUUAUACACAAUGGGGUAGAAAUCUCAAGGAUUGUCUUGGAAUUCUGCUUGCCAUGGGCACACAGAAAAUCUCAGCGAUAAAGAGGCUGUUGGAGGUAGAGAGGUUGGUCCACUUGUUCUGUCAUGUAAUAACUCUUAGAUACAGGAAAGACCUUGUAAUUAAACAUUUUCCAUCUGAGAUUAACACAGAAAUCCCUAACCAAUAAUUCAACUUGACAAGAACAGAUUAGAUAUUUUUCCUGUGCUGAGUAUGGAUGUAGAGUUGUGAAAUGGAAGACAAGGGAAAUUUAGAAAGAUGUGGAGAUUCAAAGUGUUCAACCUUGUUGCAUUUGCCACAAUAUUUACAUCCUAUUUCUUGGGAUUAUAUUAUUUCCCCAGCAGUGGUUUCUUCUUACUUUGAGACAUAACUGAAUUGAGUAUCUCGUUUGCACUGCAACUGCAAUUUUGACAGUCCAGUCUUGAUAUUGGUCCUCAGUUUAUCUGCUCUGCCACUUUAGGAGAUAAGGGAUUGGUUCAAAGUUACCACCAAGGCUUUCUCGUUUUUGAUUUAUAUUCUGAGUUGGAAUUUCACAGCCUUUAGUUCCUCUUUUUCGUGUGUAAACUACGUAGGACAUCUAGUAAAAGGUAAUGUAUAUACAAUAUUAAUGAUCACUAUUGUUUUUCAACACCUAAACUACCCACAAAAUUUGUGGUUGAUUAUGUUCCCUGUUACAGGCUGUUGCGGGACCAGCCACUGCCAGGGUCACUUCUGUUCUUGUGUUCAGCUCCAGUCACCCGCACCAGUGACCUCUUCUCUGAAGUAAGUUACAGGAUAUCAAAGGAGGAGAGUGAACAUCAUCCAAGGAUUUGGAGUCCUCUUCUGGGAAAAAGGUCAACAAAGAGUUCUUGAGCAUCUGCCAGACCAAGUACAGUUCUAGACAUCAAAGAACCUACAAUGAAUAAAGCAAGUCUCUUUCUUCAGGAAAAUUACAGCAUAAUGUUGUUGCAAUUAAGUUUUUUUCAUGCAUGUAAAACCCUCGUGCAUACAUUUGGCUGAUACAUACUGAACUCUAAAAACACAUUACUACCCAUUUUAGUAAUUAACAUUUGGCAUUCGCCUUGCCUAUGAGAGUUUAGAAG
rnacentral:lncRNA from 1 species